UAGGGAAUCUUCGGCAAUGGGGGCAACCCUGACCGAGCAACGCCGCGUGAGUGAAGAAGGUUUUCGGAUCGUAAAGCUCUGUUGUAAGAGAAGAACGUGUGUGAGAGUGGAAAGUUCACACAGUGACGGUAACUUACCAGAAAGGGACGGCUAACCACGUACCAG
rnacentral:rRNA from 1 species